UGACGCUGGCGGCAGGCCUAACACAUGCAAGUCGAGCGGUAACAGAGAGUAGCUUGCUACUCUGCUGACGAGCGGCGGACGGGUGAGUAAUGCUUGGGAAUAUGCCUUAUGGUGGGGGACAACAGUUGGAAACGACUGCUAAUACCGCAUGAUGUCUACGGACCAAAGUGGGGGACCUUCGGGCCUCACGCCAUAAGAUUAGCCCAAGUGGGAUUAGCUAGUUGGUGAGGUAAUGGCUCACCAAGGCGACGAUCCCUAGCUGGUUUGAGAGGAUGAUCAGCCACACUGGGACUGAGACACGGCCCAGACUCCUACGGGAGGCAGCAGUGGGGAAUAUUGCACAAUGGGCGCAAGCCUGAUGCAGCCAUGCCGCGUGUGUGAAGAAGGCCUUCGGGUUGUAAAGCACUUUCAGUAAGGAGGAAAGGUUAAGUGUUAAUAGCACUUAGCUGUGACGUUACUUACAGAAGAAGCACCGGCUAACUCCGUGCCAGCAGCCGCGGUAAU
rnacentral:rRNA from 1 species